GGUGACAGUUUGACCUCAACAGUCAUACUGGUGGCAGGGGCCCAGACCAGUGCCUCUGGAUUGCUGGUUCAGGGGGCAUGACCCUGAGCAUUUGUGGAGAGGGGAGGGUGUGGUCAGCUGUUUCAUUUGGGGGCUCUCCUGACCCUUAGAAGACCGAGAUGUGCCCGACUGCACAGAGGACGAAGUUGAAGUCACUCUUCUAGAAACUGCCUGGUGCAGAUGCCGUGGUGACAGAUAUGAAAGGAUGGGCCUUUGAACAUGGCUCAGCUUACCAGACAUAACAUCUGGAGCGGGAUCCUCCUGGCAUCACCUGAAUUGGCUGCCCUGAAGACAUACUUUGUGAUCCCUGAAAGCUCAUUCCAGCCCCCAGAGUGCCUGGAACCCUUGGCACUGAGAUUCGAGUGAAGAAUGAGAUAAGUCCUGAGAAUGUUGGCAAUUGGGCUUGAGUCCCCUCGCAGAUGUAUACUGGAUACCCAGCAGGAGACUUUUGCAUGCUGAGCCCUCCCCAGCGUGGUUCCCACAAUGACAGGACAUCAUUGUCAGGAACCAGAGUGUCCUCCAACCUCUCAUUUCCAAACCA
rnacentral:lncRNA from 1 species